GACGGAGGGUGCAAGCGUUGCUCGGAAUCACUGGGCGUAAAGGGUGCGUAGGCGGUCUCGCAAGUCUGGCGUGAAAGCCCAAGCUCAGCCUUGGAAGUGCGCUCGAAACGGCGAGGCUGGAGUGCCGGAGGGGAGAGUGGAAUUCCCGGUGUAGCGGUGAAAUGCGCAGAUAUCGGGAAGAACACCCGUGGCGAAGGCGGCUCUCUGGGACGGUACUGGACGCUGAGACGCGAAAGCGUGGGGAGCGA
rnacentral:rRNA from 1 species